AUUGAACGCUAGCGGGAUGCCUUACACAUGCAAGUCGACCGGAGUGGUGAACGGGUGAGUAAUUUCUCGGAACGUGCCCAGUAGCGGGGGAUAACUACGCGAAAGGGUAGCUAAUACCGCCUACUAUUGGAGCGGCCUAUCUCGGAUUAGCUAGGUGGUGGGGUAACGGCUCACCAAGGCGACGAUCCGUAGCUGGUCUGAGGGGACGACCAGUCAAACUGGGACUGAGACACGGCCCAGACUCCUACGGGAGGCAGCAGUGGGGAAUGUUGGACAAUGGGGGAAAGCCGGAUCCAGCCAUGCCGCGUGUGCGAUGAAGGCCUUCGGGUUGUAAAGCACUUUUGGCAGGAAAGCGGUACCUGCAGAAUAAGCACCGGCUAACUACGUGCCAGCAGCCGCGGUAAUAC
rnacentral:rRNA from 1 species